rnacentral:rRNA from 1 species
AGUGAACGCUGGCGGUAGGCCUAACACAUGCAAGUCGAACGGCAGCACAGUAAGAGCUUGCUCUUACGGGUGGCGAGUGGCGGACGGGUGAGGAAUACAUCGGAAUCUACUUUUUCGUGGGGGAUAACGUAGGGAAACUUACGCUAAUACCGCAUACGACCUACGGGUGAAAGCAGGGGAUCUUCGGAACUUGCGCGAUUGAAUGAGCCGAUGUCGGAUUAGCUAGUUGGCGGGGUAAAGGCCCACCAAGGCGACGAUCCGUAGCUGGUCUGAGAGGAUGAUCAGCCACACUGGGACUGAGACACGGUCCAGACUCCUACGGGAGGCAGCAGUGGGGAAUAUUGGACAAUGGGCGCAAGCCUGAUCCAGCCAUACCGCGUGGGUGAAGAAGGCCUUCGGGUUGUAAAGCCCUUUUGUUGGGAAAGAAAAGCAGCAGGUUAAUACCCCGCUGUUCUGACGGUACCCAAAGAAUAAGCACCGGCUAACUUCGUG